AUGCAUAAAUAUACUGGCUGCACACUGCUUGAACUUGGUGACUCUCUGAAACCACAGAGGGAGAACAACAACCCCUUUACACUUACAUCUUUUAUGCUUCUAAAGCAAUGUGGAGAAAUCUUAAACUCCUCCCACAGCACCAAGGACAUCAAGAAGAUCCUAGAGAGAGUGGGCAUUAAGGCGGACGAUGACCGGCUCAACAAAGUCAUCAGUAAGCUGAAUAGUAAAAACAUUGAAGAUGUCGUUUCUCAGGUUGUUGGAAAGCUCGCUAGUGUACUUGCUGGUGGGGCUGUGGCUGUCUCUGCUGGCCCUGGCUCUGCAGCUCCUGCAGCUGGCUCUGCCCCUGCUGCCGAGGAGAAGAAAGAUGAGAAGAAGGAGGUGUUCAAGGAGUCAGAUGACGACAUGGGAUUUGGUUUGUUUGACUGAAUUCCUGCUCCCCUGAAAAUAAAGCCUUUUUA